GACGAACGCUGGCGGCGUGCUUAACACAUGCAAGUCGAACGGAAAGGCCCUGCUUUUGUGGGGUGCUCGAGUGGCGAACGGGUGAGUAACACGUGAGUAACCUGCCCUUGACUUUGGGAUAACUUCAGGAAACUGGGGCUAAUACCGGAUAGGAGCUCCUGCUGCAUGGUGGGGGUUGGAAAGUUUUGGCGGUUGGGGAUGGACUCGCGGCUUAUCAGCUUGUUGGUGGGGUAGUGGCUUACCAAGGCUUUGACGGGUAGCCGGCCUGAGAGGGUGACCGGCCACAUUGGGACUGAGAUACGGCCCAGACUCCUACGGGAGGCAGCAGUGGGGAAUAUUGCACAAUGGGCGGAAGCCUGAUGCAGCAACGCCGCGUGCGGGAUAACGGCCUUCGGGUUGUAAACCGCUUUCGCCUGUGACGAAGCGUGAGUGACGGUAAUGGGUAAAGAAGCACCGGCUAACCACGUG
rnacentral:rRNA from 1 species